ACGCUUUUCCUAAAGCUUAAGCCAUGCAUGUCUAAGCCUACGAGGUAGCAAUACUCUCUGAAUCUGCGAACGGCUCCGCACACCAGUUGUAAACCACAGCGCGCUUCCCCGGUCGGUGGCCCCUUUACUGGGGCCAAUGCCGGCUGGGGUACACGGAUAGCCGUGGUAAUUCUGCAGCUAAUACGUCAUAAUCACCACCGGAGCUACACGGGGGUGGCCCAUGUGGCCGCUUCACGCUCCGGGGGGCGGUACUGCUUUGGCUUGGUUUUACCAUGGAAGGACAGCACUCGUCAGACUGCCACCCAACCCCGAAGCGCGAACGGAGGCUCGUCCUCUCGCCGCGCACCGGGGGGCAGCGCUCGGCUGGUGCUUCUGACCUAUCAACUAUACAGCAGCCUAAGGGACAUGCUAUGGUUUCUACGGGUACAGAGGAUUAGGGUUCGAUCCUGGAGAGUGGGCCUGAGAGAUCGCUCACACUUCUAAGGAAGGCAGCAGGCGCGCAACGUUCCCAUUGGGCAUCGCCCGAGGGCGUUAGGGGACAUAUGAAUA
rnacentral:rRNA from 1 species